UACGAAGGGGGCUAGCGUUGCUCGGAAUCACUGGGCGUAAAGCGCACGUAGGCGGCUUGUUAAGUCAGGGGUGAAAUCCUGGAGCUCAACUCCAGAACUGCCUUUGAUACUUAUGAGCUUGAGUUCGGGAGAGGUGAGUGGAACUGCGAGUGUAGAGGUGAAAUUCGUAGAUAUUCGCAAGAACACCAGUGGCGAAGGCGGCUCACUGGCCCGAUACUGACGCUGAGGCACGAAAGCGUGGGGAGCAAACAGG
rnacentral:rRNA from 1 species